AGCAGCAUGGACACACCGGGAUGACCGGCGCGGGGACACACAGCACUGGCGAGAAGAAGGGCGUCAUGGAGAACAUCAAGGAAAAGCUCCCUGGUGGCCACAGUGACCACCAGCAGACCGGUGGAGCCUACGGGCAGCAGGGACACACCGGCACGGCGACACAUGGCACCCCUGCCGGCGGCGGCACCUACGGGCAGCAUGGACACGCUGGAGUGAUCGGCACGGAGACGCAUGGCACCACGGCCACCGGCGGCACCCAUGGGCAGCACGGACACACCGGAACGACUGGCACUGGGACACACGGCUCCGACGGGAUCGGCGAGAAGAAGAGCCUCAUGGACAAGAUCAAGGAUAAGCUGCCUGGACAGCACUGAGCCCGGUCUGCCCGCGGCCGCUACCCUUGCAGAAUAAUAACCCCACCGUGUAUAAGUUGAUUGAGUCUAGUUCACCUAGCUCACUUGGUCGUUGGAGGAGAGAAUGUAUUAUGUAUCUUGGUUUAAGUUUUCACGGACAACAGUGUGUUCACAGUUUUCUUCUGUUUACACUCUGUAGUGCAAAUUUCGUUUUUGUUCUUUUUUUUUGUCCAUCUUAUCCAAGAGACAGACGCAGCGACCA
rnacentral:lncRNA from 1 species